rnacentral:lncRNA from 1 species
UUUUUCUGAUUCGUACAUGUGGCAAAAUGUGUGAUUUUUUUUUUUUUACUUAGGGGUUGUGGGCCAAAAGUUACAUAUUAUUUCAUGAUUAUGUUUUUUUUGUUGGUCAUUUUAAAAUGCUAAAAUAUAAUAUGAACCUUCUUUUCAUUUAAUAUAAAUCUAUUUUUAAAGAAAUAAUUUAUACACGAUGAGGAAAACAAAA